UCAGUGAUUUGAUUAGUCUUUAAAAGAUAGUCGGGGAUUAAGUACCUGAGAAUGUGCAAAAAGGUGACAUGUUUAUCUUAUUUGCAACAAGCAACAUACUUAUGCUUAUCAUUUAUUUGUCCAAUGAAAUGCAUUCGUGAAUAUUGAAAUCUUUUCAGUUACUUGCAACAGGAAUGACAGAAUUCUGAAAACAAGAUCAAGAUUGUGCUUUGUUGGCCAUCAGGAGUAUACAUGUGUUGGCAUGCAUCUGCAGACACCCAAUACAACUAUUUCAUGGAAAGUCAAAACUUGAAACACAUGUUGGUGAUCCAAGCCCUUCAACACACUGGUGUCAUGAUGAAUGUGUCUUCACCUACUAUCAGUUUUGUCCAUUCAUCAGGCGAGCCACACUUAUAUUGAGAAAAUGGAUGCAGUUUUAUCCAUUCAUUAGGAUUUGCAAAAUUGGUUACAGCUUUUGCAAGAAAUGCUCACUGAUGAGAAGUAUAUAUUGAGCUGUUGAACCGUGCCAGGAAAUGUCAAUAAUGCAGCCCAAUUCAGAGUAAUGGAAGAAUCUCUGAUGAAAUCUCUUUAUUCACAUUGAGAACACUAGGCA